rnacentral:rRNA from 1 species
UACAGAGGUCCCAAGCGUUGUUCGGAUUCAUUGGGCGUAAAGGGAGCGUAGGCGGCCUUGUAAGUCAGUGGUGAAAUCUCGCAGCUUAACUGCGAAACUGCCAUUGAUACUGCUUGGCUAGAGUAUAGAUGCUGUGGGCGGAAUAUGACAUGUAGUGGUGAAAUACAUAGAGAUGUCAUAGAACACCGAUUGCGAAGGCAGCUCACAAAAACUAUAACUGACGCUGAGGCUCGAAAGUGUGGGGAUCAAACAGG